GUCGAGCGAAUCUGAGGGAGCUUGCUCCCAAAGAUUAGCGGCGGACGGGUGAGUAACACGUGGGCAACCUGCCUGUAAGACUGGGAUAACUCCGGGAAACCGGGGCUAAUACCGGAUAAUAUCUAUUUAUACAUAUAAUUAGAUUGAAAGAUGGUUCUGCUAUCACUUACAGAUGGGCCCGCGGCGCAUUAGCUAGUUGGUGAGGUAACGGCUCACCAAGGCGACGAUGCGUAACCGACCUGAGAGGGUGAUCGGCC
rnacentral:rRNA from 1 species